rnacentral:lncRNA from 1 species
GUUUAGUUUUAUAAGAAACUCUCAAACUGUCUUCCAGAAUGGUUGCACCAUUGUGGAUUUGUACCAGCAAUGAAUGAGAGUUUCUGUUGCACUACAUUCUCACCCUUCUGAAUUGUGGUGGUGUCACUGUUCUGAAUUUUGGCCAUUCUUAUAGGUAUAUACUUGUAUUUUAUUAUUGUUUUAAUUUUCAUUUUCCUUAUUACAGAUGAUGGGGAACACCUUUUUGACAAGAAAGAAUGAAAAGAAAAUUGAAGCAACUGUCAAAAUGUCUAUGGAGGAAAAGAGGAUUUGGUGACCCAAAUUAUCAAGCUUGUCAUGAACAUUAAUUUAAUAAGUCUGUAAUCACACAAUGAUAUUCAAAUGGAAAAUUGAGGAAUUAUUUAAUCAAUUUUAUCAAUCUGGAUAAUCCAAGCUCAAAUCCUUUUUGAUCCUCAAUAGCCUGGGAAGAUUUUAGGCAUUUGUAUUUUUCAUAUAAUUGCCCUAAUUCUCUCUUUAACUUUUUCUUCAUAUUCAAAGCUAAACUCAUCCUGCAUUUAAAUUUGCUCUUUCUAUGUAUGGAACAAAGUGUUCUGACAUGGAAUAAGUAGUAAAGUUAAUACUCAUAAAGCAUUAAUGAAAAUAAAUUAUAGGAACACAAAGGGAUUUACACAUAUAUUUCUUUUGCAAUUAUGGUGAGAUAAAUAUUUUUUCUUUUUGAAAAAAUAUAUGUAUUCUCCCAUAAAACUUACCUUAUUCAGCACUUACUUUAGUAGACAAUCAGUAACUACAUUUUCUCACACAAAUUUGAUAAAUGUAGUGUGUGUGUAUGUGUGUGUGAGUGUGUUUAACUGGGAAAGUUAGUACAUCACAAUAACAAUAACAAUAAAACACUGUGUGAAGGUAUACAUAUUUAUGGUACAUUUCAAAAAACCAUUUUGUUCCUUCCUUUGAGGAAACAGAAAAUUCUAAGAAAAUCAGUUAAAUAUAGUAUACUUGCUACGCUAAUUGUCUUACAUAAAAAGAGAUGUAUUAAGAUGUUAUACAUGUGGUAUGCCAUCUGUUUCUGUUUUUGUUGUAUUCAUCACAUGCAUCUGUCCUAAUUCAGCUAUAAGGAAAUACUUAAAUAUAAUUUACACAUCAAAGCUAUUGCAAAAAAUCAAUUUUAUGCAUGUGAAACCCUCCUUUUUCUGAAAUGUGUCCUAAGUUCAAAGAUCAACACAGUUUCAAAUUAAGCCUCGCUCUUCAAAAUGAAAUUUUUCAAAAAUUUGGCUGGAUAAUAGGGAUCUGAAUCACUCAAAUGUGUAAAAGUUGUUUCAAAAGUUAUAGAGGCCAUCAUUUGUAUGGUUCAUCUAUUUCAGAGAACUAUGAAAACUGAUCUUAGAAAGUUGAACUAAAAAAUUUUGUUGUAUUUCACUAUGUUCAUGUCAUCUAAACUAUAAAUGUUUUAAAAUAAAAUAUAUACAGCUAUAGAAAAAGAUUAUUUUAUAACAUAUGCUUAGUGAUGAUCAUCCUAAUAUUACGUCUUGCAUUAAAAAUAUUUUGUCUUGAAUUAAAAGUA